UAAGGUACGGUGUUUGUGCACAAAGGUUUUUGGUACCUUUAGAGAGUAUAAAGUUGCUCUACCUUAG
rnacentral:tRNA from 1 species